rnacentral:rRNA from 1 species
AUGAGUUAAGUAUAAACCCCUUUACAAGUAUCAAUUGGAGGGCAAGUCUGGUGCCAGCAGCCGCGGUAAUUCCAGCUCCAAUAGCGUAUAUUAAAGUUGUUGCAGUUAAAAAGCUCGUAGUUGGAUUUCUGUUAAUAAUUUAUAUAUAAUAUUUUAAUAUAUUUAUAUAAUAUUAACAUAAUUCAUAUUACUAUUUUAGUAUAUGAAAUUUUACUUUGAGAAAAUUAGAGUGCUUAAAGCAGGCAUAUGCCUUGAAUACUCCAGCAUGGAAUAAUAUAAAAGAUUUUUAUCUUUUUUAUUGGUUCUAGGAUAAAAAUAAUGAUUAAUAGGGACAGUUGGGGGCAUUUGUAUUUAACAGUCAGAGGUGAAAUUCUUAGAUUUGUUAAAGACAAACUAGUGCGAAAGCAUUUGCCAAGGAUGUUUUCAUUAAUCAAGAACGAAAGUUAGGGGAUCGAAGACGAUCAGAUACCGUCGUAGU